GUGAGGAAUAUUGCGCAAUGGAGGCAACUCUGACGCAGCCAUGCCGCGUGCAGGAAGAAGGCGCUACGCGUUGUAAACUGCUUUUAACCGGGAAGAAACCCCAGGACGUGUCCUGGGUUGACGGUACCGGAGGAAUAAGCACCGGCUAACUUCGUGCCAGCAGCCGCGGUAAUACGAAGGGUGCAAGCGUUAUCCGGAUUCAUUGGGUUUAAAGGGUGCGUAGGCGGAGCGUUAAGUCAGUGGCGAAAUCCUGCAGCUUAACUGUAGACUUGCCAUUGAUACUGGCGCUCUUGAGUGCGCUUGAAGUGGGCGGAAUGUGCCGUGUAGCGGUGAAAUGCUUAGAUAUGGCACAGAACACCAAUUGCGAAGGCAGCUCACUAAGGCGAUACUGACGCUGAGGCACGAAAGCGUGGGGAUCGAACAGGAUUAGAUACCCUUGUAGUCC
rnacentral:rRNA from 1 species